GUAACCAGCAGGUAGCCUAGUGGUUAGAGCGUUGGGCCAGUAACCAGCAGGUAGCCUAGUGGUUAGAGCGUUGGGCCAGUAACCAGCAGGUAGUCUAGUGGUUAGAGCGUUGGGCCAGUAACCAGCAGGUAGCCUAGUGGUUAGAGCGUUGGGCCAGUAACCAGCAGGUAGCCUAGUGGUUAGAGCGUUGGGCCAGUAACUGAAAGGUUGUUGGAUUGAAUCCCCGAGCUGACAAGGUAAAAAAUCUGUUGUUCUGCCCCUGAACAAGGCAGUUAACCCACAAUUUCCUAGGCCGUCAUUGUGAAUAAGAAUG
ensembl:lncRNA